GCCGCGGCCGGCGAGGUCGGCACCGCGCCGGGCUUGACCAGCUCGGGCUUGGCCGGCUCGGGCUCGGCCGGCUCGGGCUUGGCCGGCGGCA
rnacentral:tRNA from 1 species